rnacentral:rRNA from 1 species
CCUACGGGCGGCAGCAGUGAGGAAUAUUGGUCAAUGGACGCAAGUCUGAACCAGCCAUGCCGCGUGCAGGAAGACGGCUCUAUGAGUUGUAAACUGCUUUUGUACGAGGGUAAACCCAGAUACGCGUAUCUGUCUGAAAGUAUCGUACGAAUAAGGAUCGGCUAACUCCGUGCCAGCAGCCGCGGUAAUACGGAGGAUUCAAGCGUUAUCCGGAUUUAUUGGGUUUAAAGGGUGCGUAGGCGGUCUGAUAAGUUAGAGGUGAAAUGCCGAGGCUCAACUCCGGAAUUGCCUCUGAUACUGUUAGGCUAGAGAAUAGUUGAGGUAGGCGGAAUGUAUGGUGUAGCGGUGAAAUGCUUAGAGAUCAUACAGAACACCGAUUGCGAAGGCAGCUUACCAAGCUACAUCUGACGUUGAGGCACGAAAGCGUGGGUAGCAAACAGGAUUAGAUACCCUGGUAGUC